UCCAAUUGAUAUUUUAUAGUGUGUUUUUCUAUGUUGUGAUGUUAAACUAUUGUUUCAGAAAAGGGAGAAGGUUAGGUACCAUUAAAACGUUUAAUCCCGCUGCAAAUGUUUACACCUGUCCUAAGUCAGGAAUCUGAUGUACAGAAGUUGUCGUCUGUUUAUUGAGUUCAUACGUGUUUUUCGUUUCUCGUUUUUUAUAUAGAUUUAUUUAGACCGUUGGUUUUCCAGUUUGAAUGGUUUUACAUAAAUAUUUUUUGGGGCCCUUUAUAGCUUGCUGUUCGAUGUGAGCCAAGGCUCCGUCUUGAAGGCAGUUCCUUGAUCUAUAAUGGUUAACUUUUAUAAAUUGUUAUUUGGAUGGAGAGUUGUCUCAUUGACACUCAUGCCACAUCUUCCUAUAUCUAUAGACAUAGAAAACCCAAUUUUUUCAAGAACCACACAAUUGACCUAAUGCUAUUUAAAAUGCCAUGAUGUAAUGAUGAGUCUUAAAAUUUGUCAUCUUUAUAUUUAAUUUUCUUAUUCUUUGAAUAUCGCCUAGGUUGGGAGGUGAGAGUAAUGGGGGUCUGGAAGGGGUUUACGGAAAAGAGAACAAUGGAUGAAAAGUGAACAAUAAAUGGCAAAUAGUAUAAGAUUAGAGGAAAAUAGGACAAAAGAAAUAACAAAUAGAGAGUUAAGGAGUACUGAUAAAUAAUAGAAUAAAGGUAAAAAUAAAUAAAGAAUAUAGAAUAAGGAAUAUAAAAGUAAUUAAUGCACAUAAUAGAAUAAGGGUAGAUAAACAAUAGAGAAAAAAUGAAAUGUUAAACAUUAAAGAAAUAAAGGACCCAUGUGCAAUCUCAACUCUCAGCUGUAAUUGGACAAAAGUACUGCAAUAUUACUGCCCAUAUUAUACAGACCUUCUAAAAUUCAAACUGACCACACGCACGAUACACGCACGGUGAAUGCACGAUACACGCACGGUACACGCACGAUACACGAUACACACACGGUACACGCACGAUACACGAUACACGCACGAUGAGCGAUGAGCGUUACACGGAGGAUUAACGCAAAAUGAAUGAUGAAUGAUGAACGCACGAUACACGAUGAAUGAUAAAUACACGAUACACGGACGCACGAUACACGCACGUUGAAUGAUUCAUUGACGACUGAACAACGAACGCUUUUUACACGAUUCUCAAAGCUAUUUUAUUUAGAAUAGUAUUAUACAUGUAAUUGUAACAAAGCUUCUUGAUAAAAUAAUAAAAAAAAAACAAAAACAAAAAAACAAAAAACAAAAACGGAUAAAGGAAACAGAAAUCGAAACCAACACAACCAUAACAAAACCAAU
rnacentral:lncRNA from 1 species